UACGUAGGGAGCGAGCGUUGUCCGGAUUUAUUGGGCGUAAAGCGCGCGUAGGCGGUUUGGUAAGUCGGGUGUGAAACCUCCAAGCUUAACUUGGAGCUGCCACUCGAAACUGCCAUGACUUGAGUUCGGUAGGGGAACACGGAAUUCCAGGUGUAGCGGUGAAAUGCUUAGAUAUCUGGAGGAACACCAGUGGCGAAGGCGGUGUUCUGGGCAGAUACUGACGCUGAGAAGCGAAAGCGUGGGGAGCGAACAGG
rnacentral:rRNA from 1 species